rnacentral:rRNA from 1 species
UACGUAGGGCGCAAGCGUUAUCCGGAAUUAUUGGGCGUAAAGAGCUCGUAGGCGGUUUGUCGCGUCUGCCGUGAAAACCCGAGGCUUAACCUCGGGCUGGCGGUGGAUACGGGCAGACUAGAGGUAGGUAGGGGAGAAUGGAAUUCCCGGUGUAGCGGUGAAAUGCGCAGAUAUCGGGAGGAACGCCGGUGGCGAAGGCGGUUCUCUGGGCCUUACCUGACGCUGAGGAGCGAAAGCGUGGGGAGCGAACAGG